rnacentral:rRNA from 1 species
GAUGAACGCUGGCGGCGUGCCUAAUACAUGCAAGUCGAGCGAACAGACGAGGAGCUUGCUCCUCUGACGUUAGCGGCGGACGGGUGAGUAACACGUGGAUAACCUACCUAUAAGACUUGGAUAACUUCGGGAAACCGGAGCUAAUACCGGAUAAUAUAUUGAACCGCAUGGUUCAAUAGUGAAAGACGGUUUUGCUGUCACUUAUAGAUGGAUCCGCGCCGCAUUAGCUAGUUGGUAAGGUAACGGCUUACCAAGGCAACGAUGCGUAGCCGACCUGAGAGGGUGAUCGGCCACACUGGAACUGAGACACGGUCCAGACUCCUACGGGAGGCAGCAGUAGGGAAUCUUCCGCAAUGGGCGAAAGCCUGACGGAGCAACGCCGCGUGAGUGAUGAAGGUCUUCGGAUCGUAAAACUCUGUUAUUAGGGAAGAACAAAUGUGUAAGUAACUAUGCACGUCUUGACGGUACCUAAUCAGAAAGCCACGGCUAACUACGUG